GCCGGAAUAGCUUAGUUGGUAAAGCGUAGGACUGAAGUUAUAGGUAUCCUCUGUUCGAUCUCGGGUUCCGGCA
rnacentral:tRNA from 1 species